UAGCACCUAGUAGCUGAUAUCAUUAGCAUAGCAUUUUUAAACCUUGUUAAUUCAGAUCAGGUUGUUUGUUGACUGAGUGUGAGACGUUUAUCUCCAUAUUUCCUCCACAGACCUCAUUGAUAUUACUGUUAAGGGCACGGAUGGAGAAGCAGCAUCUCUUCCCUGCAAGUGUCCUCCGGAUAGGCCUCCGUAUCUGGUCUGGCAGAAGGUCGCCGGUGAACAGCCGCUCGUGGUUAAUUACUAUAAAGACGACGAGCAAGAAGACAACCUCACAGCAUCUGAGUUCAGGAACAGAACAGAGCUGAACCUGAGUGGAAACUGUUCUCUAGUGUUUCACAGAGUGAGUCUGUCAGACCAGGGACUGUACGAGUGCUACUACAAGAAAUCACCGUUAAGACGUGAAAGAAUCCAUCUGGUCGUCACAGAAAAACAACAACAAAUACCUGGUCAGAACGUCCAGAGCACCAUUGUGACGUCUUCAGUUUGCGUGUUUUUCAUCAUUGUGAUCGCAAGUGCUGCUGUAUACGUGGGAAUCACUUGCAGGAAUAGACAUCAGAUGAGAAGAACAUUUAUUGCAACAUCAAGGAGGAGCAUUUAACAGCUGUCAAUUCAGAGCAAGAUCUAGGUCUAUAGAUACUUUUGAAUGGCAAAUGCAACAAACAAAACAACAAACAGCACAAGCUCGCACACGUCGUGUAGUUCUUAUGCGGGUGACCCAUUUCACUUGUUAACCCACCACAAACAUUUUCUGCCACUUCUCCAUCUAUUAAAGGAGUAAAUCACCGCUGACAAGAUGGGCUUUUAAUAAAAGCGGGCUGUCUAUGCAAAAAAAAAA